CACCCAUAAGCUAGCCCAAACCCUAAAUUCAACAACUCACUAUCAAUAACCCCAAAAACACCCCACAAUUUAACUAAACCAUUUUUCCCCCUAAGUAUAGGCGAUAGAAAAGGAAAUCACGGAGCCAUAGAUCAAGUACCGCAAGGGAAAGCUGAAAGAGGGAUGAAACAGCCCAGUAAAGUUAUAAAAAGCAGAGAUUUAACCUUGUACCUUUUGCAUCAUGAUUUAGCUAGCACCCCUAAGCAAAGAGCCCUUUAGUUUAUUACCCCGAAACUAGGUGAGCUACUUCAAGACAGCCUAUUAAUAGGGCAAACCCGUCUCUGUGGCAAAAGAGUGGGAAGAUCUUCAAGUAGAGGUGAUAAACCUACCGAACCCAGUUAUAGCUGGUUGACUGAGAAUUGGAUAGAAGUUCAGCCUCCCGGUUUCUCCCUUCAUGUAAAUUCAAAAUUAAAACAGAUUACCAAGAUACCAAGAGAGUUAGUUAAAGGGGGUACAGCCCCUUUAAAAAAAGAUACAACUUUAAUAGGCGGAUAAAGAUCAUAAUUAACCAAGGAAAUAUAUUUUAGUGGGCCUAAAAGCAGCCACCCUAAAAGAAAGCGUUAAAGCUCAAAUAUAAACCCUCCCCCUUAUACUGAUCUCCCUAAUCUCAAUCCCCUCCUCAAUAUCAGUCUAUUCUAUGCCUCCAUAGAAGAAACUAUGCUAAUAUGAGUAAUAAGAGAACCCCUCUCUCCCCGCACAAGUGUAAAUCGGAACGGACCCCCCACCGAAAACUAACGGCCCCAAACCAAGAGGGUACUGAAAAUGAAACUUAAUAGAACUAGAAAAGGAUUCAAAACAAAACCGUUAAUUCCACACUGAUGUGCACCCAAGGAAAGACUAAAAGAAAAAGAAGGAACUCGGCAAACAAAAUUAUAAGCCUCGCCUGUUUACCAAAAACAUCGCCUCUUGCAAACUAAAGAAUAAGAGGUCCCGCCUGCCCAGUGACAACAGUUCAACGGCCGCGGUAUUUUGACCGUGCUAAGGUAGCGUAAUCACUUGUCUUUUAAAUGAAGACCUGUAUGAAUGGCAUAACGAGGGCUUAACUGUCUCCUUUUUCAAGUCAAUGAAAUUGAUCUCCCCGUGCAGAAGCGGGGAUAUACACAUAAGACGAGAAGACCCUAUGGAGCUUUAGAUGUUAAGACAGCCUAUGUUAAAAGUACCCAAUAAAGGACCAAACUAAAUAGGCUCUGCCUAAAUGUCUUCGGUUGGGGCGACCUUGGGGAAACACAAAACCCCCACGAGGAGCAGGAGCACUUAACCCUUACACUUACCACCCUCCUAAAGAUUAGAAUUACGCUUCUAAUAAACAGAACUUCUGACCAAAAAUGAUCCGGCAAAGCCGAUCAACGAACCAAGUUACCCUAGGGAUAACAGCGCAAUCCCCUUUUAGAGUCCAUAUCGACAAGGGGGUUUACGACCUCGAUGUUGGAUCAGGACAUCCCAAUGGUGCAGCCGCUAUUAAGGGUUCGUUUGUUCAACGAUUAAAGUCCUACGUGAUCUGAGUUCAGACCGGAGUAAUCCAGGUCAGUUUCUAUCUAUGUAAUGAUCUUUUCCAGUACGAAAGGACCGAAAAGAAGAGGCCCAUGCUACAAGCACGCCUCACCCCCACCUGAUGAAAAAUCUAAACUAGGCAAAAGGGCAUUUCCCCUGCCCGCCAAAAAGAAUGGCGU
rnacentral:rRNA from 1 species